UUUUCUUGUUGAAUCAGCUGAUUUGUAUACUUUGUGGUCCAUUAAUAUUUCAUAUAUAUAUAUAUAAAAUAUCAUAUAUAAGUUAUGACAAUACUCUAGUUGAUGUAAUUAAUUGUUAUUAAUAUUUCUGACAAACAAAAACGGAAACAUGAGACGUAAGGCAGGAAUAGGAGCGAUUCAUAAACAAAAACUCGAGCAAGAAAAGUAUAAAGACAAGGGCACAGCAAUUCAGGAAAAUCAGUUUGAACAGAUGACCAAACACAUGGAGAUGUUCAGAACAAAUCUUGAAGAAUUCGCUACCAAACACAAGAACGAGAUAAAAAAGAACGCACAGUUCCGGCGACAGUUUACAGAAAUGUGUGCGUCAAUAGGAGUCGAUCCUCUGGCAUCUGGAAAAGGUUUCUGGUCAGUGCUGGGCAUCGGUGAUUUUUAUUACGAACUAGCAGUACAGAUCGUUGAAGUUUGUUUGGCAACGAAUUACAAGACUGGUGGUUUGAUUUCACUUGACGAGCUGAGAGAUCGAUUGAUCCAAGCCAGAGGCAGGCGGAAGGAACACCAAGAAAUAACUAACGAAGAUUUGUUGGCAGCAGCUAAAAAGUUGAGAAUAUUCGGCAGUGGUUUUUCCGUACUCCCUAUUGGCAGAGGAAAGUACUUGGUACAGUCGAUACCUGGUGAACUGAGCAUGGAUCAUACAGCUGUGCUCCAACAGACGAGUAUUACAGGAAAUGGUUAUGCCUCAGUGUCACUGUUAGAGAGUGAACUGAAAUGGGAACGUGAUAGAGCACAGAAAUCACUUGAUCAUAUGGUUAAAUUGGGACUUGCUUGGCUAGAUGAGCAAGAUGAUAGUGAGAUACUUUACUGGUUCCCCAGUUUAUUCACAGCUUGUGUUGACUCUAAUACUUGUUAAAAAAAAAUAACUGAUACUUAUAAUAUAAUAUUUUUAAAUAUAAUUUAACACAGCUUGCAGUUGAAAUAAACUUAAAACUUUGUCACCUCGCACCAUCACCAUGAUCAAAUCUAAAUAAAAUAUUUUAAUGGAUUAAUAUAUCAAUGCAAUAAAUGGAUAACUUACUUUACAUGCCUUCAGGUCUUGUUGAAGGCCUUCAACUACAGUUUCAUAUUCUCUAAUUAUUAAAUUUCUUUCAUCAGCGCUAAAAAUUUGAAAAAAAAAGUACAAAGAAAGUGUAAUUUUAAUUUAUAACUCAUGUGUAAUAAA